rnacentral:tRNA from 1 species
CAGAGAAUAGUUUAAUAAAAAUAAUAGUUUUGGAGACUGUGGAUGGGGAUUAUUCCUUUUCUCUGA